UACGAAGGGAGCUAGCGUUGUUCGGAAUCACUGGGCGUAAAGCGCACGUAGGCGGAUGUGUCAGUCAGGGGUGAAAUCCCGGAGCUCAACUUCGGAACUGCCUUUGAUACAGCACGUCUUGAGUCCGAUAGAGGUGGGUGGAAUUCCUAGUGUAGAGGUGAAAUUCGUAGAUAUUAGGAAGAACACCGGUGGCGAAGGCGGCCCACUGGAUCGGUACUGACGGCUGAGGUGCGAAAGCGUGGGGAGCAAACAGG
rnacentral:rRNA from 1 species